rnacentral:lncRNA from 1 species
UGAUGCAGAGGCCCAGGAGCCCCUGCAGACCCUCACCCUGUCACCUGCAGCACCUGGUGCCUGGCUCGGCUCUUCCGGAGCUGCCUCCUGAUCUCUCCCUGCAAGCCCCCAAAUCCAGAAUGUCAGAUUCCUAAGUGAGUAGGUCCUAAGGCCAAGGCCGAUGUCUCCAAGCCUCGGGCUGUAUCAUUGGAUGUAAAGGCCGAAGAAUUCCAAAUGACGUUCUGGCCUCUGGUCAGGUGAAAUGGUGAGAAAACCCCAAGAUCAUAUCUUCCCACCCCUCUCCUGCCGCCCUCUUGUGUCCACUCCAUCCCCCACCAUCUAUAAAAAGAUGGCAAAAGACACAAAAUAGAAGACACAAAGAAGCUGCAUCCCCCACUGCGUCUCUGGUGCAGGCCAGCCAGCACCCACCCAGGUUUGCAUGCUCCAAGGAGAGGAAGAAGCAAGAGUCAGUGAAACUUGCCACCUGCAAAUCCAGGACACUGCAA